rnacentral:rRNA from 1 species
UACAGAGGGUGCGAGCGUUUGUUCGGAAUUACUGGGCGUAAAGCGCGCGCAGGCGGCUCUUUAAGUCCGUUGGUGAAAGACCGGGGCUCAACCCCGCGUCAGCCAUGGAUACUGGGGGGCUGGAGACAGGUAGAGGCAAGCGGAAUUCCGGGUGUAGCGGUGGAAUGCGUAGAGAUCCGGAAGAACACCGGAGGCGAAGGCGGCUUGCUGGACCUGGUCUGACGCUGAGGCGCGAAAGCGUGGGGAGCGAACAGG